AAAUGCAACAUAUGAUUAUAAAAAUAUACUAUAUAACAGAGCCCACAAAAUCACAAGAAGUAAAGUUGAGAGAGGAAUUGGGCAACUGAAGAGAAGGUUUGGGAUAUUGCAUGGAGAAAUUAGAAUGAAACCAGAGAAAGCCUGCAGAGUUAUCACUGCAUGCGCAGUACUGCACAACAUUUGCAAGCAGAGAGACAUUCCAUUGCCUGAUGUGGACAAUGAGGACCAAGAUGACCAGCCACAAAAUGCAAUUGACCCAAAUGCUCCACAAGUGGGACUGAGAUAUAGAGAUUACAUUGCAAACAGUUAUUUUUGAACAAUUAGGAUUUCUAUCUUCCUAUGACAGUUGCAUCUGCAACAAACCACUUGAACUGAAGAGGACUGAUUAGGAAUUGCUCGAGCUGAAGUGGAAUUUCUGAAAUAGUAACACAAUACAUGUUGAUUCAAGAAGAUUUAGAGACCAAUUGAUCAUCUAAUGGGGUUAAUGAUUCAACCAUCUGUGUGAAUGAAUACCGGCAAUCAUACAUGAAGUAUCACAAUCAGACAUGAAGUAUCCUGCCAGUGCAAAAAAAAUUCAGUUAUUCAUGACAGCAUGGUUCUUUCCUGAACCAGUUUUGAAAUGAACCAGUACUUAAUAUUUCAAUAUAUACUGGACAAUAUAUUUUACAAUGCCAUCAUACAUUUACCAUUGUUCAAUGAAAAUUAAAUCUCAAUUAAUGAUUUGUCAAUGAAUAAAACCAAUGUCUGGAGUUCAAAUGUGAAGGAAUUAUAUCAUGAGGGUGCAGCCUAAGAGAUACAAAAAUACACAUCUGAACAACAAACAAUGAAUAUAUUAAAAAGGAAUUCACUGAAUGAGAUAUAUUGUUUCUAAACUAAGACAUUAUCAUGAACUUUAAUGUACAUAAUUGAUGACAUCCAUUUAAAUUUUGAUGAUUUUGUAAGUUUCUUUUCCAGUGGCCCAGUGCUCUCCUUUGCCUCUUGACACAAUAAGUGUGACUGAAGAGAAAAUAAACUGUUGUAUAAUAACACAAAAUUUUCACCAGGCUUUUAUUAAUAUAAGAAUCAGUUUGAGCUAAAAUUAACCAUCUUGUACAUUUUUUUUUCAAAAUCAAGGAGUUCUUUUGUUGUUCAAUGCAAGUCAACUCAUACCAGAAUGAUGUGUGAUCCUCUUCAAGAGUAUUUACUACGUCUGUAUCAGGAACACUAACAUGUGUAGUCCUGAAAUUUUUGUAUAGAUUCUUGAGUACACAUGUAUCACAAUUAUUUCACAUCAAAAUGAUUGCAGUAAAGCAUUUGUCAGUG